CGUAGGGGGCGAGCGUUGUCCGGAUUUAUUGGGCGUAAAGAGCUCGUAGGCGGUUUGGUAAGUCGGGUGUGAAAACUCUGGGCUCAACUCAGAGACGCCACCCGAUACCGCCAUGACUUGAGUCCGGUAGGGGAGUAUGGAAUUUCCGGUGUAGCGGUGAAAUGCGCAGAUAUCGGAAGGAACACCAGUAGCGAAGGCGGUACUCUGGGCCGGAACUGACGCUGAGGAGCGAAAGCGUGGGGAGCGAACAGGAUUAGAUACCCUGGUAGUCCACGCCGUAAACGUUGGGCACUAGGUGUGGGUCUCAACCAACGGGAUCCGUGCCGCAGCUAACGCAUUAAGUGCCCCGCCUGGGGAGUACGGCCGCAAGGCUA
rnacentral:rRNA from 1 species